GUCAUCGAUGAUGGAUGCUUUUUGCUUCUGGACGUGACGUGCAGCCUGGGCAAGACGGGCUGUACACUGCUCUACGUAGGUGGUAAGGGCCAUGACCAGGCCAGGAAAGCCCCAUCCAUUGCUGAGCUGCAUACAGAGUCACACAGGACAAGGGCAUGGUGACAUUCCUUACAGAGGUGGGGCAUCUCUACAAUGGCAACACUACAAAGCUGAUGCAGAUCACAAAGGAAAACAAACAAAACAAAAGUGUUCAUCAAGAAUUACCCUUCCUACCUGCCAUUGAGGACCAUCCCAAUGUACUGUGGGCUAAGAGGAGUGUUCGUCAUGGAACUCAAGACCCCAAGAAUCAGAGAUUAGAUGUGAGAGUAACUGAGCUUCUUGAUAUUCCUGGUGCUUAGUGAUCUGUUCCUGAAGAGGCCUAUAAACAGCCUGCGUCACCAUCCUCUGUGCCUGGUAAAGUGCAUCCUGACCUGAGGGAAU